UUGUGAGAAAAUCCGACUUGGAAGCUCUCAUACGAUCCAUUACCUCACUUAAGGAAUCCGGAUAUUAAGACCGGGAAAAGACUUGGAGAAGGAAAUGCCAAAGGAGAUCUUUAUGUUCUUGAGAAAACCUUACCAAGUUCUUCUACUUCAUUUAAUGCUUGUCUUGCUUUAAGUUCUAAUGGCGUGUGGCAUGCUAGAUUAGGCCAUCCUCACUCUCGUGCUCUUGAAUUGAUGUUGCCUAAUGUUUCAUUUGAUAGUUCUAGUUGUGAGUCUUGUAUUCUUGGUAAACAUUGCAAGUCUAUUUUCCCUAAAUCUAAGACCAUUUAUGAAAA